GAUUUCUGGCUUGAUGCGCCUGGCCCACCUCGGUUACGAGUGUGAGUGCCGGUGCGCGUCUGCCAUCCUUCCAGAAAACAAUCUCGCCCUUCACUGGGUUGGGGUUGCAAUCUGGAUCUAUUACUUUGAAAAAAUUAGAGUGUUUAAAGCAGGCGUUUGCUAUGAAUACAUUAGCAUGGAAUAAUAAUUUAGGACUUUGGUUCUAUUUUGUUGGUUUCUAGGACUGAAGUAAUGAUUGAUAGGGAUAGUUGGGGGUGCUAGUAUUCAGUGGCCAGAGGUGAAAUUCUUGGAUUCACUGAAGACUAACUUAUGCGAAAGCAUU
rnacentral:rRNA from 1 species